rnacentral:rRNA from 1 species
UACGAGUUUGAUCCUGGCUCAGAUUGAACGCUGGCGGCAUGCUUUACACAUGCAAGUCGAACGCGAAAGGGGGCAACCCUGAGUAGAGUGGCGCACGGGUGAGUAAUACAUCGGAACGUGUCCUGUAAUGGGGGAUAACGCAGCGAAAGCUGUGCUAAUACCGCAUACGUCCUACGGGAGAAAGCGGGGGAUCGCAAGACCUCGCGUUAUAGGAGCGGCCGAUGCCGGAUUAGCUAGUUGGUGGGGUAAAGGCCUACCAAGGCAACGAUCCGUAGCUGGUCUGAGAGGAUGAUCAGCCACACUGGGACUGAGACACGGCCCAGACUCCUACGGGAGGCAGCAGUGGGGAAUUUUGGACAAUGGGCGCAAGCCUGAUCCAGCCAUGCCGCGUGAGUGAAGAAGGCCUUCGGGUUGUAAAGCUCUUUCGGCCGGGACGAAAUCGCACGGGUUAAUACCGCGUGUGGAUGACGGUACCGGAAUAAGAAGCACCGGCUAACUACGUG